GCAGUCAGAGAUCAGAGGCUGCACUCAUCAUAGCAGUGGAGCAGGACCAGCUGGGACAGGGUCCUUCUGUGACACCUGCCGCAUCACCAGGCUGUGUGAACAAACUCAGCUGCCAGAACUCACAGAAUAUCAGUAUCAGCACCAAAAACUCACAGGAAAAAUGCUCCAUGUUUAGCUCCACAAACUUCAGACUUGAACAGCAUCACUGGCUCCUGACCAGGACUCCAGCUCCAUGAACCUCAAACUAGAACACCAGCCCACCUUCUCCACA
rnacentral:lncRNA from 1 species